GACGAACGCUGGCGGCGUGCUUAACACAUGCAAGUCGAACGGUAAGGCCCUUCGGGGUACACGAGUGGCGAACGGGUGAGUAACACGUGGGUGAUCUGCCCUGCACUUCGGGAUAAGCCUGGGAAACUGGGUCUAAUACCGGAUAGGACUCCGGACUGCAUGGUCUGGGGUGGAAAGCUUUUGCGGUGUGGGAUGGGACCGCGGCCUAUCAGCUUGUUGGUGGGGUGAUGGCCUACCAAGGCGACGACGGGUAGCCGGCCUGAGGGGGUGACCGGCCACACUGGGACAGAGAUACGGCCCAGACUGCUACGGGAGGCAGCAGUUGGGAAUAUUGCACAAUGGGCGCAAGCCUGAUGCAGCGACGCCGCGUGAGGGAUGACGGCCUUCGGGUUGUAAACCUCUUUCAGCAUCGACGAAGCGAAAGUGACGGUAGGUGCAGAAGAAGGACCGGCCAACUACGUGCCAGCCGCCGCCGUAA
rnacentral:rRNA from 1 species